rnacentral:misc_RNA from 1 species
UCCGGCUUAACGCCGGCAGUCUCCCUAGAGUGCCCAACUCAAUGGUGGCAACUAAGGACGAGGGUUGCGCUCGUUGCGGGACUUAACCCAACACCUCACGGCACGAGCUGACGACAGCCGUGCAGCACCUGUGCACGCUCCCUCGCGGGUCGUCACCCUUUCAGGCUCCUACCACGUGCAUGUCAAGCCCAGGUAAGGUUCUUCGCGUUGCGUCGAAUUAAACCACACGCUCCGCUGCUUGUGCGGGCCCCCGUCAAUUCCUUUGAGUUUUAGUCUUGCGGCCGUAGUCCCCAGGCGGCGGACUUAUCGCGUUGGCUGCGGCACCGGGGGGGUCGAUACCCCCGACACCUAGUCCGCAUCGUUUACAGCGUGGACUAC